CCUACGGGGGACAGCAGUAGGGAAUCUUCCACAAUGGGCGAAAGCCUGAUGGAGCAACGCCGCGUGGGUGAAGAAGGUCUUCGUAAUGUAAAGUUCUUUUAACAGGGAAGAAAGAGAAAUUUGACGGUACCUGAAGAAUAAGCUCCGGCUAACUACGUGCCAGCAGCCGCGGUAAUACGUAGGGAGCGAGCGUUAUCCGGAAUUAUUGGGCGUAAAGGGUGCGUAGAUGGCAUAGUAAGUCUUUUGUAAAAAUGCUGGGCUCAACCCAGUAGGGCAAAGGAUACUGCAAAGCUAGAGUAUGACAGAGGCAAGUGGAACUACAUGUGUAGCGGUAAAAUGCGUAAAUAUAUGUAAGAACACCAGUGGCGAAGGCGGCUUGCUGGGUCGAUACUGACAUUGAGGCACGAAAGCGUGGGGAGCAAACAGGAUUAGAUACCCGAGUAGUC
rnacentral:rRNA from 1 species